rnacentral:tRNA from 1 species
GGGCGAAUAGCUCAGCGGGAGAGCACCUGCCUUACAAGCAGGGGGUCGCAGGUUCAAAACCUGCUUCGCCCA